rnacentral:rRNA from 1 species
AUUGAACGCUGGCGGCAUGCCUUACACAUGCAAGUCGAACGGCAGCACGGGAGCAAUCCUGGUGGCGAGUGGCGAACGGGUGAGUAAUAUAUCGGAACGUGCCCAGUUGUGGGGAUAACGUAGCGAAAGCUACGCUAAUACCGCAUACGAUCUAUGGAUGAAAGCGGGGGAUCGCAAGACCUCGCGCGAUUGGAGCGGCCGAUAUCAGAUUAGGUAGUUGGUGAGGUAAAGGCUCACCAAGCCGACGAUCUGUAGCUGGUCUGAGAGGACGACCAGCCACACUGGGACUGAGACACGGCCCAGACUCCUACGGAGGCAGCAGUGGGGAAUUUUGGACAAUGGGCGCAAGCCUGAUCCAGCAAUGCCGCGUGAGUGAAGAAGG